rnacentral:rRNA from 1 species
CCUACGGGUGGCAGCAGUGAGGAAUAUUGGUCAAUGGGCGAAAGCCUGAACCAGCCAAGUAGCGUGCAGGAUGACGGCCCUACGGGUUGUAAACUGCUUUUAUACGGGAAUAACGCGCCUUACGUGUAGGGCUUUGCAUGUACCGUAUGAUUAAGGACCGGCUAAUUCCGUGCCAGCAGCCGCGGUAAUACGGAGGGUCCGGGCGUUAGACGGAUUUAUUGGGUUUAAAGGGAGCGUAGGCGGCAUGUUAAGUUCGCUGUGAAAUGUUCGGGCUCAACCCGGACAGUGCAAGGGGUACUGGCAGGCUUGAGUACACGUAAAGAAGGCGGAAUUCGUGGUGUAGCGGUGAAAUGCUUAGAUAUGACGAAGAACCCCGAUUGCGAAGGCAGCUUGCUGCAGCGUAACUGACGCUGAUGCUCGAAAGCGCGGGUAUCGAACAGGAUUAGAUACCCCAGUAGUC